UACGGAGGAUCCAAGCGUUAUCCGGAAUCAUUGGGUUUAAAGGGUCCGUAGGCGGUUUAGUAAGUCAGUGGUGAAAGCCCAUCGCUCAACGGUGGAACGGCCAUUGAUACUGCUGAACUUGAAUUAUUAGGAAGUAACUAGAAUAUGUAGUGUAGCGGUGAAAUGCUUAGAGAUUACAUGGAAUACCAAUUGCGAAGGCAGGUUACUACUAAUGGACUGACGCUGAUGGACGAAAGCGUGGGUAGCGAACAGG
rnacentral:rRNA from 1 species